rnacentral:tRNA from 13 species
GGGCUGUUGGUUUAGUGGUAUAAUACCCGCUUAGCAUGCGGGUGGUCCGGAGUUCGAUUCUCCGACAGUCCA